rnacentral:rRNA from 1 species
CGAACGCUGGCGGCGCGCCUAACACAUGCAAGUCGAACGGAGAUUACAGGCGGAAGUUUUCGGAUGGAAGCUUGUAAACUUAGUGGCGGACGGGUGAGUAACACGUGAGGAACCUGCCUCAAAGAGGGGGACAACAGUUGGAAACGACUGCUAAUACCGCAUAAGCCCACGGGUCGGCAUCGACCAGAGGGAAAAGGAGAAAUCCGCUGAGGGAUGGGCUCACGUCUGAUUAGUUAGUUGGUGAGGUAACGGCUCACCAAGACUGCGAUCAGUAGCCGGACUGAGAGGUUGAACGGCCACAUUGGGACUGAGAUACGGCCCAGACUCCUACGGGAGGCAGCAGUGGGGAAUAUUGGGCAAUGGGCGAAAGCCUGACCCAGCAACGCCGCGUGAAGGAAGAAGGCCUUCGGGUUGUAAACUUCUUUUAAGAGGGACGAAGAAGUGACGGUACCUCUUGAAUAAGCCACGGCUAACUACGUG